rnacentral:rRNA from 1 species
UACGUAGGUGGCAAGCGUUGUCCGGAAUUAUUGGGCGUAAAGCGCGCGCAGGCGGCCUUUUAAGUCUGAUGUGAAAGCCCACGGCUCAACCGUGGAAGGUCAUUGGAAACUGAGGGGCUUGAGUACAGAAGAGGAAAGCGGAAUUCCACGUGUAGCGGUGAAAUGCGUAGAGAUGUGGAGGAACACCAGUGGCGAAGGCGGCUUUCUGGUCUGUAACUGACGCUGAGGCGCGAAAGCGUGGGGAGCAAACAGG